rnacentral:misc_RNA from 1 species
CGCACAUUGCGCCCGCCAGUAUUCUGGCGGGCAUGCCUGUUCGAGCGUCAUUUCAACCCUCAAGCCCAGCUUGGUGUUGGGAGCUGCAGUCCUGCUGCACUCCCCAAAUACAUUGGCGGUCACGUCGAGCUUCCAUAGCGUAGUAAUUUACACAUCGUUACUGGUAAUCGUCGCGGCCACGCCGUUAAACCCCAACUUCUGAAUGUUGACCUCGGAUCAGGUAGGAAUACCCGCUGAACUUAA